rfam:Ictidomys tridecemlineatus contig102858, whole genome shotgun sequence.
GGGGUUGUAUUUCAGUGGUAGAAGUCUUGCCUGGCAUGCAUGAGACCAUGGGUUCAAUCCCUACUACCACA